rnacentral:rRNA from 1 species
CUACGGGGCGCACCAGUGGGGAAUAUUGCACAAUGGGCGCAAGCCUGAUGCAGCAACGCCGCGUGAGGGAUGAAGGCCUUCGGGUUGUAAACCUCUUUUAGCAGGGAAGAAGCGAAAGUGACGGUACCUGCAGAAAAAGCACCGGCUAACUACGUGCCGAGCAGCCGCGGUAAUACGUAGGGUGCAAGCGUUGUCCGGAAUUAUUGGGCGUAAAGAGCUCGUAGGCGGUUUGUCACGUCUGCUGUGAAAAUCCAAGGCGCAACCUUGGACUUGCAGUGGGUACGGGCAGGCUAGAGUGCGGUAGGGGAGAUGGGAAUUCCUGGUGUAGCGGUGGAAUGCGCAGAUAUCAGGAGGAACACCAAUGGCGAAGGCACAUCUCUGGGCCGUAACUGACGCUGAGGAGCGAAAGCGUGGGGAGCGAACGGGAUUAGAUACCCGUGUAGUC